AGCCUGAUGCAGCGACGCCGCGUGAGGGAUGACGGCCUUCGGGUUGUAAACCUCUUUCAGUAGGGAAGAAGCGAAAGUGACGGUACCUGCAGAAGAAGCGCCGGCUAACUACGUGCCAGCAGCCGCGGUAAUACGUAGGGCGCAAGCGUUAUCCGGAAUUAUUGGGCGUAAAGAGCUCGUAGGCGGUUUGUCGCGUCUGCCGUGAAAGUCCGGGGCUCAACUCCGGAUCUGCGGUGGGUACGGGCAGACUAGAGUGAUGUAGGGGAGACUGGAAUUCCUGGUGUAGCGGUGAAAUGCGCAGAUAUCAGGAGGAACACCGAUGGCGAAGGCAGGUCUCUGGGCAUUAACUGACGCUGAGGAGCGAAAGCAUGGGGAGCGAACAGGAUUAGAUACCCUGGUAGUCCAUGCCGUAAACGUUGGGCACUAGGUGUGGGGGACAUUCCACGUUUUCCGCGCCGUAGCUAACGCAUUAAGUGCCCCGCCUGGGGAGUACGGCCGCAAGGCUAAAACUCAAAGGAAUUGACGGGGGCCCGCACAAGCGGCGGAGCAUGCGGAUUAAUUCGAUGCAACGCGAAGAACCUUACCAAGGCUUGACAUGAACCGGAGAUACCUGGAAACAGGUGCCCCGCUUGCGGUC
rnacentral:rRNA from 1 species